UAUGAAGCAGAUCAUCUUGAGUAACAAGUGGGUAAUCAGAGGCGCUGAGAUUAAUGAACCAAUCCCAUUCCCCAGCUUGUUUGAGCAAAAUAGCAGCGGCGUGAAGGGUAUUAGCAACCAUAGUAGGACCCCGGUAGGUAACCAGAUUAGCUUUCGUAAUCAUCCGAACAUUCUUGAAUUGGAUAAAAAUUGGAUGAUUGGUAACAAAGUUAUGCAGAUCGAGACGCUCCUCCGGUGAAGAUUCAGCAUCGAGAUGCACUACAUACUGAUUAUUAGGGUGAUAAAGAGCUUGAAGGGUUCUCUUGAGCAUGUUCCCAUCGCCGGCAGAACCUGACACGAGGUAGGCAAAGCGAGGGGGUGGAGGAACAGUGUAGACAGGUAAAGGUUUAAGCUUGGAUUCAACAAAUACAUUAGCUGCGGAAUAGGAUGAAUAGUAACGGUAAAGGGGCAAAAGAGGAGUUCCAUCUGGUGAUGUUAGGGUUGUUAAAAACAAGAGAAAAAGGGAAACAAUGGAACCUAUAGCAAGUGGAAAGAUCCACUUCCUCUCGAUUGUUGUUGGGUGUCUAAGGUGCAGAUAAUAGGUUUUCAACUUCUUCAUUUCAAUCUCUUUUCAUCAACAAAGCUCCAGAAAAAAGAUUGAAAUGGGGUUUUUCAAACUGAUCUCUAAACAACUAAUGUGGUG
rnacentral:misc_RNA from 1 species